rnacentral:lncRNA from 1 species
UUGAGAGAUUACUCUCAAAAUGACCUGACUAUCGGAGAGUCCAACUUAAGUUGCAAAGGGACUUAUAUGUCCACCUUAAGAUUGGAAAUUUAUAGUUUCGUUUUAAGGACAAACCCUCGAAGAGGCCAACAUAAGGUUCAAAGGAACUUAUAUGUCCACCUUAAGAUUGGAAAGUUAUAUAGCUUCAACUCGAAGACUUCAUGGACUUAAUGAUGUCGACUUAAACACUUGAAAAACUUUGAAGAUUUGGCAGACUUUGCACAUUUCAACUUAAAGACCGACAAACUUGAAAAUUCGGCAGACUUUGACGUUUCAACAUGAAAAAUUUGAGGGCUCAAAUACUUCCACUUAGAAGACUGACGAGUUUGAGGACCUCAACUUGAAGACUUCAACUUGUGACUUGGAGGGCUUGAGUAUUUCAACUUGAAGAGUGGCGAACGUGAAGACUUCAAUUUGAAGACUGACGGACUUGAAGAUUUCAACUUGGAG